ACGAACGCUGGCGGCGUGCUUAACACAUGCAAGUCGAACGGAAAGGCCCUGCUUUUGUGGGGUGCUCGAGUGGCGAACGGGUGAGUAACACGUGAGUAACCUGCGCUUGACUUUGGGAUAACUUCAGGAAACUGGGGCUAAUACCGGAUAGGAGCUCCUGCUGCAUGGUGGGGGUUGGAAAGUUUCGGCGGUUGGGGAUGGACUCGCGGCUUAUCAGCUUGUUGGUGGAGUAGUGGCUUACCAAGGCUUUGACGGGUAGCCGGCCUGAGAGGGUGACCGGCCACAGUGGGACUGAGAUACGGCCCAGACUCCUACGGGAGGCAGCAGUGGGGGAUAAUGCACAAUGGGCGGAAGCCUGAUGCAGCAACGCCGCGUGGGGGAUGACGGCCCUCGGGUUGGAAACCGCUUUCGCUUGUGACGAAGCGUGAGUGACGGUAAUGGGUAAAGAAGCACCGGCUAACUACAUG
rnacentral:rRNA from 1 species